rnacentral:sRNA from 1 species
UAACGCAUUUACCGGAAUGACAGGUUGU